rnacentral:rRNA from 1 species
AGCAGUAGCCGCGGGAAUACGUAGGGUGCAAGCGUUAAUCGGAAUUACUGGGCGUAAAGCGCGCGUAGGUGGUUUGGUAAGAUGGAUGUGAAAUCCCCGGGCUCAACCUGGGAACUGCAUCCAUAACUGCCUGACUAGAGUACGGUAGAGGGUGGUGGAAUUUCCUGUGUAGCGGUGAAAUGCGUAGAUAUAGGAAGGAACACCAGUGGCGAAGGCGACCACCUGGACUGAUACUGACACUGAGGUGCGAAAGCGUGGGGAGCAAACAGGAUUAGAUACCCCGGUAGUCCCUGUCUCUUAUAC